rnacentral:rRNA from 1 species
CUACGGGCCGCAGCAGUGGGGAAUAUUGCACAAUGGGCGCAAGCCUGAUGCAGCCAUGCCGCGUGUAUGAAGAAGGCCUUCGGGUUGUAAAGUACUUUCAGCGGGGAGGAAGGGAGUAAAGUUAAUACCUUUGCCCAUUGACGUUACCCGCAGAAGAAGCACCGGCUAACUCCGUGCCAGCAGCCGCGGUAAUACGGAGGGUGCAAGCGUUAAUCGGAAUUACUGGGCGUAAAGCGCACGCAGGCGGUGUGUUAAGUCAGAUGUGAAAUCCCCGGGCUCAACCUGGGAACUGCAUCUGAUACGGGCAAGCUGGAGUCUCGUAGAGGGGGGUAGAAUUCCAGGUGUAGCGGUGAAAUGCGUAGAGAUCUGGAGGAAUACCGGUGGCGAAGGCGGCCCCCUGGACGAAGACUGACGCUCAGGUGCGAAAGCGUGGGGAGCAAACAGGAUUAGAUACCCGGGUAGUC